rnacentral:rRNA from 1 species
UACGUAGGGUGCAAGCGUUAAUCGGAAUUACUGGGCGUAAAGCGUGCGCAGGCGGUUUUGUAAGGCAGAUGUGAAAUCCCCGGGCUUAACCUGGGAACUGCGUUUGAAACUACAAGGCUAGAGUGUGGCAGAGGGGGGUGGAAUUCCACGUGUAGCAGUGAAAUGCGUAGAGAUGUGGAGGAACACCGAUGGCGAAGGCAGCCCCCUGGGUUAACACUGACGCUCAGGCACGAAAGCGUGGGGAGCAAACAGG